GCCUGAUCAUAUCACGCACAACAGCUGGAGCUGCUGACAGAAGGUAUAGUGGUGAACCUAUGAUUUUCUGCAA
rnacentral:snoRNA from 1 species